AUGGCUGGGAUGGCAUCACGCUGCGAAGGCAAGACAACCGGCGACAAAGGCUACUGUAGUGUGAUUUAUUCACCCUAUCCACAGUCGUCGCCUCUUCCUCCUCGCCUGGCCGACCUGUUCCAACACUUUGGUCUGGACAAGAUCCGCGCGAUCGAAAUGAGUGCUUUCGAACGUGCUCGUGAUGUAUUCUACAUCGUCGAGGGCGAGGAUGGCGACGAGGACGACGAAGGCGACGAGGACGACGACGUGGAUGUGGACGAGUCGGAUAGAAAGCUCUUAGAUGAUGAAAAGAAACCCGAUAUCACGAAACGACCACACACUCCUAUUGGAGAUGAGGUGGAAUGCAAGAAGCCAAAGAUAGCAGAAGGCUCAAGGUGCCAAGGAGAAGAACCUGAGGCUGGAGGGAUAAAGAAUUCCUCCUGCUCCCUCGCUCUCUCUCUCGCCCGGCCGAACACCACCGUCGCCGCCGUUCGCCUUAGCCGCUGA
rnacentral:rRNA from 1 species